CGCGAAGUGGGGCGGUCGUGGGGGCCCAGUGAGGUGGAAGCGCCGGGCCUGGAAGAGACGCGGGGACAGGGCACUCCCUGGGUGCCCUAGACCUGGCCUCUCUCCUCCCUGAGCCGCAGACCAACGCGUGGCGGCUGAGCGAGGUGAACGGGGACUUCAGCUUGUGCCCCAGAUACCCCCGUGCCGUGAUCGUGCCACACGUGGUGGACGAUGAUGCCCUGGCGCGCAGCGCCCGCUUCGGUCAGGGAGGUCGCUUCCCGGUGCUCAGCUACCCCCUGCUCCCAGUGGCACCGUGAGCGCGCCCUUCCCACGCUCCGCCCCUAGGUGGCCGUGUCGUUUCUGGGCCUUUUCUUUUUGGCCCGGCCAAUUCGCGGCCUGGCAGCUGCCCCAACUCCUGCUCCAUUGUGGUCCCGCCCCUCUCCCGCCUUUUCGCAUGGGAGGGUAUCACCUUUCUCUGGCCCCGCCCCUGACGGUUAUGGGCCUCGCGAAGCUUAGUCCCUUCUUUGUCAAGCCAGGACCCGCCCACGGUCUAUUCAUAGGGUCCCUAACCACUUUGGCCACAACACCCGCAGACUGGUCCGAAGCCUCCUGAGUUCGCCCUGGUCUCUCUACUCCAGCCUGUCGGUGUGCAGACCUGGCCUAGGGGCCCUCUAAGGCUGGGGGCGUCACUUCCAGAGCUGAGUCCGGUCCGCAGGUUCUGCUACGCUCCAGCCAGCCCCUGACCGUUCCCCAGAAGCGGCGCUGCGAGAAGGACCAGGAGCUGCUGCGAACUGUGCUGGCAGGGGCUCGUCCUUGGGCGCGGGGCUUCAUCAUGGACACACUCUCGGCCCAGGCAGCGAAACAGGCCCACAUCACUGGCGGAGGCACGGAGGCCAAGGCCGCUUACCCUGGGUGGUAACGGUUACACGGGUCCCUGGAGAGGAGAGCUUCGUGCGCCUGGUGGAGGCCUGUGGGGACUCGGAGCAGAGCAUGGACAACUGGCUGAGUCUGCUGGAUGGCUACUGCUGGCUGUAACAUGUAAAGGAGGCACUGAGCACUGCCUGCCUGGCAGCCCAGGGCAUGGAGAGGCACAGACAGCACCCUGCUUGUGACUUCACUGGCCCAACUCAUCCUGGACCCCUUGAGCAAAACCAUGACUGAAUUCCAGGAACUGGUGGAGUGGGAGUGGAUCCAGGAAAGUAAGCGACCACCCAACCCCAGCCUUACCCUCCAUCCAGAAACCUUGCUUCCUCGUGCCCAUUGCUCUGCCCACUCCCCAGGCCGGCCACCCCUUCCAACUGUGCUGUGCCCACUCAGCCUUCUCCCAUGCCCACCCCAAGCAUGAGGCACCCACCUUUCUCUCCUUCCUGGACUGUGUGGCAGCUGGGCCGCCAGUUCCCACUGUCAUUGGAGUUUGGGGAAGGGCUACUGUUGGCGCUAUUUGGGCACGCCUAUGCCUCCCCUUUUGGCACCUUCCUCUGCAACAGCGAAAAGAAGAGGUGAUCCACACACCAGGCGUGAGCCACCGUGCCCGGCCAGCCGUUUACUUCCUUAGGAGCCAUCUUUCCCAAAUUCAAUGCCCAGUACAAGAUCUGACUGGCAAUGUUUGCAAGAAAAAGGAGAAAAGGAGAGGUUAUCACUGCUCCAAAGUGGCUGUCACCCUACUAACCAGGGCUGCCCACCCAGACUCCCAGAGGGCACACCUGGGACUGGAAACUUACUCCCUGCCUUUCUGCAGAUGCCCGUGUGAAGUAAGGACUCAGACACACUCCCUGUGGUCUUGGUUCAGCCAGCCAAAAGAGCAACAAAGAUUCCGGAACCCACUCUACAUCCUCAAUCCCUUGGCCAUCUGUGGAGCCCCAGAGCCUGCGGCUGGGCAAGGUGAGCCCCACACCUUCUCCACGGGGGAUUAUCCCUCCGCUCAGCGUCCUGACCUGUCUUCCUCCUCCUUGGGCCUGUUUCUUCGCUGGACCCACUCACCUGAGCCUGCAGAAGCCGCAUGGGGGAAGAGUGUGGCAAAUAGUGACAGGAAGGGAGAAGACAGAAGCCUCCCAGCCAACUACUUUAGCCCCCACCCUAAGCACUGGCUCCUUGGACAGCAACCGAGAUGUUCCUGAAACCUCUGCAGGCCCCUUAGGACCUUUACACCUUGGAAGAGGAUGCCUGCAACCCAGGC